ensembl:snoRNA
ACUGCCCCCAGAGGCAUUGCAGGUAUGGCUGCUUUUGUGUCACAUCCGUGUCUGUAGGUGGCAGAAAGAAGAGAAGCUUAUCUUAUGCCCAGUGUUCUGGCUAGUGAACAUUUAAAUUAUUAAUAUUUUGAUGCU